AGAGUUUGAUCCUGGCUCAGAGCGAACGCUGGCGGCAGGCCUAACACAUGCAAGUCGAGCGGCCGUAGCAAUACGGCAGCGGCAGACGGGAUAGUAACACGUGGGAACGCGCCCUUCGGUUCGGAAUAACUCAGGGAAACUUGAGCUAAUACCGGAUACGCCCUUACGGGGAAAGAUUUAUUGCCGAAGGAACGGCCCGCGUCGGAUUAGCUAGUUGGUGAGGUAAUGGCUCACCAAGGCGACGAUCCGUAGCUGGUCUGAGAGGAUGACCAGCAUCACUGGGACUGAGACACGGCCCAGACUCCUACGGGAGGCAGCAGUGGGGAA
rnacentral:rRNA from 1 species